ensembl:lncRNA
GGUCUGCAGAGCUGCUCCAAGAAACAGCCUGGCCAACUGCUGAGGAAAAGCUGUACUUCAACAGAGCAAUAAGGAUGUCCGGAGUGGGGUUUUAAAGAGGGCAACUAUCAGCUCGAUGCUGUGGCCAUUACCCUGGGACCUGCAGGCAGCCAGCACCCAGUUUGACCAGCAGACAGACCAGAAGGGCUGACAGGUUAUCCUGCUGCUCAGCAGAGAUGCCAUUGCUUCUCAUGUGUGUGCAAAACUUGGCUCACACUAGAGAAUCACCCACUGGGUGAAGAAGCUGAAGAACAAGAAUCUGUGUGCUGCUUAUGUGAAGACAGCAAGCAAGCCUGCAAGAGGCAUGGCACAUCCAUUCAGACAGAGCCUAUCUUGGCAUCUCUUCUGUUCAUUCUUGUACCAAAAAAAAAAAAAAAAA